GCUUACGGCCAUACUGCCUUGGGCAUGCCCGAUCUCGUCUGAUCUCGUAAGUUAAGCAGGGUCGGGCCUGGUUAGUACUUGGAUGGGUGACCGCCUGGGAAUACCAGGUGCUGUAAGCA
rnacentral:rRNA from 10 species